rnacentral:rRNA from 1 species
CUACGGGGUGCUGCAGUGAGGAAUAUUGCACAAUGGGGGGAACCCUGAUGCAGCAACGCCGCGUGGAGGAUGACGCAUUUCGGUGUGUAAACUCCUUUUAUAUGUCAAGAAAAUGACGGUAGCAUAUGAAUAAGCACCGGCUAACUCCGUGCCAGCAGCCGCGGUAAUACGGAGGGGGCAAGGUUACUCGGAAUCACUGGGCGUAAAGGACGCGUAGGCGGGUUGGAAAGUCAGGUGUGAAAUCCUACAGCUUAACUGUAGAACUGCACUUGAAACUUCUAAUCUAGAGGAUGGGAGGGGGAGAUGGAAUUAGUGGUGUAGGGGUAAAAUCCGUAGAUAUCACUAGGAAUACCUAAAGCGAAGGCGAUCUCCUGGAACAUUACUGACGCUAAGGCGUGAAAGCGUGGGGAGCAAACAGGAUUAGAUACCCUCGUAGUC